UGGGAAUCUUGCACAAUGGGCGAAAGCCUGAUGCAGCAACGCCGCGUGCGGGAAGACAGCCCUAGGGUUGUAAACCGCUUUCAGCAGGGAAGAAACUGACGGUACCUGCAGAAGAAGAUGCGGCCAACUACGUGCCAGCAGCCGCGGUGACACGUAGGCAUCAAGCGUUAUCCGGAUUUAUUGGGCGUAAAGAGCUCGUAGGCGGUUCGGUAAGUCGGGUGUGAAAACUCUGGGCUCAACCCAGAGAGGCCACUCGAUACUGCUGUGACUAGAGUGCGGUAGGGGAGCGGGGAAUUCCUGGUGUAGCGGUGAAAUGCGCAGAUAUCAGGAGGAACACCAGUGGCGAAGGCGCCGCUCUGGGCCGUAACUGACGCUGAGGAGCGAAAGCAUGGGUAGCAAACAGGAUUAGAUACCCUGGUAGUCCACGCCGUAAACGAUGUCAACUAGCCGUUGGGAGGGUUGCCUCUUAGUGGCGCAGCUAACGCGAUAAGUUGACCGCCUGGG
rnacentral:rRNA from 1 species